rnacentral:misc_RNA from 1 species
UACCAAAGAUUCCUUAGUAUUGUGCAAAGAAAAUGAUCUCACGCCUACACGAAGCGCAAUUCUUUAAAGUAUCUCGCAAGAAACGUUUACGAGCAAAACAAGAGACUCGGUGACUUGAGUGGCAUGCGCUGCAACUUUUUUUGCAAAAAAACAACAGAAAAAUACAUCGUUCAAGGGCGAAGAGUCAACGCGGGAAACGUUUCCAUUGGUCCAGUGUUGCAGCGACUUCUCGAAAGGUACCACCAGUUACAGAUAUAUUUCUUCACCUUAUCAAGUACCAUAUGUUCUAAAAGAUCAGAUCGUGAAAUCAGCUGAUGCGAAAGUCAGGAUGCGCUUCAGCAACGAAAGUAUAGAGAAGCAACGACCUAUCGCAAAACAUUUGAAACGUGAAAUACGUUGAAGAAAUAGCGAGGAAACAGGGGGAGAAACCAGUAGCAGACGUGGCUCUUUGUUCUUCCGAAGACGCUGAAGCCGAGGUCAAGCGAAACGCAAGCGUGCGGUCCAUGGUCGACGUUCAAACCAGUUUCCAUUAAAAAGACUUUCGGUGGCGCCUUCACGUGGUGUUUCCCCGAGGCUGCCGCAGGAUCACCGACGCCAUUCUACAGGAUAUUGACCUACCGAUGCCAUCUUGGAUCACGGUUUACGUGAUCGUAGUACUACUCACAGCUGGCACCUACAUAUCCUCGUGCUCGGCACACUCUUGAUUGCUUUCGAAACAUGUAUCGGUUUCGAGCGUGAACCUAUUAAGUCUGAUUCAUCGUAAAUCUACUCUCUCUUAUUGUGGGCAAACCUACUUUUUGGGCAAGAAAGUUGUUGCAAUUGGGAGAGUUUUUCGUUUUGAGCCAUUUUUAAUUUUGAAAAUGAAUCUUGUUUUUAUUGAAGUUUGUUGAGACAAGUUUUAUUUCUUAAUGAACCAUUUGUUUUUCUUUAAAUACUAUCUGGAUGGAAGAGUUCAAGGUGGUUGAUGAAGUAUGUGGUUUUGUAUUUGAGAGAAAAGAUGCAUUUUUAAUAUGUAACUGUACACAUCAUAUGUGUCUGAUGUGGUGACACCAGCACUUAAAAUAAC